CUGUCUGGCUGCUGGGGCCUGUGUGGCUGUCUACUACCUCUGUCAACACAACCUGCAGCGUGUGGUAACGUCCCCCAGUCCAGAGGAUGUCCUGACAGAGGCCUGGUCUCUGCUGCUGCCUGUAGCAGUGUGUGCCCUCAACACCUUCAUAUCACUACUCUACACACACACACACAGACUGGAGCGCUACGAUAGCCCACGUACACGCGUCUACGUCACGGUGCUCAGGAAUGCGAUGCUGAAGGUGUCUAUCCUAGCAGUGUUGUGUUACUACUGGUUAGCGCUGGUCCCCGGCAACGUCCCGGUAAGAACUACUACACACAUAUUGUCUGAGUCACAUACGGCACCCUAUUCCCUGUGUAGUGCACUACUUUAGACCAGAGCCCUAUUCCCUCUAUAGUGCACUACUUUAGACCAGAGCCCUAUUCCCUGUAUAGUGCACUACUUUAGACCAGAGCCCUAUUCCCUGUAUAGUGCACUACUUUAGAGCAGAGCCCUAUUCCCUAUGUAGUGCACUACUUUAGACCAGAGUCCUAUUCCCUCUAUAGUGCACUACUUUAGACCAGAGCCCUAUUCCCUCUAUAGUGCACUACUUUAGACCAGAGCACUAUUCCCUGUGUAGUGCACUACUUUAGACCAGAGCCCUAUUCCCUAUAUAGUGCACUACUUUAGACCAGAGCCCUAUUCCCUGUAUAGUGCACUACU